GAUAAGGAGACAGCUAUCAUGACAGCUAUUAUCUAAUCUAUGGGGAGAUAGCUUUGAUUUCGUGGGAAUUACCGAGGCGGAGUGUCACAAAUGUGAAGUGCGUUAUAAUUGAUUACUAAGUUACGUGCCUCUUUUUCGAUAGUUUUCAGGUAUUAAAAGGUCCCUUGGUAUUAACAUAAUAAUUAUGCCAUACCCAGGAGCUGCUUUUGCUAUUGCAGUUGGAGUAGCUUUAGGAGCAGCUGUUUAUUACUAUUUUUUCAAUGAUGAGGAACAGCGACAACAACAUAGACAGAACACUUAUGGUAGAUCUAGACAAUACACUUAUGAUAUACCCAGAGCUACACAGAACACCUAUGAUAGAUCUACACAGAAGACCUACGAUAAAUCUACACAGAAAACCUAUGAUAAAUCUACACAGAACACGUAUGAUAGAUCUACACAAAACACCUAUAAUAGAUCUACACAGACCACAUACGAUAGACCUAGGCAAAGUACUUAUGAGAGUUCUCGGCAGAAUACUAAUGAUAAACUAAUUAAGACUGAACUGACUCGAGAAAAGAAAGAUAAUUGCUGCACAAUCUGCUCACAAUUAAUGACUAGAGGAGUAAGGAAAUUAUCUUGUGGCCAUGCUUUUCAUUCUAGAUGUGUUACUAAAUGGAUAAAUGACCAUAAAAGUUGUCCAAGUUGCAGAAGUUAUCAAUCUAAUGUUGAGAAGCCAAAACAACAUAAGCAGAACUCUUAUGGUAGACCAAAUCGUUCUGAAUUUGAAAAAAAAGAGAAAGAAAAAUGCACUAUCUGUUUGGAAGAAAUGAUUGGAUGUAUAAUAAAAUUACCUUGUGGUCAUAUUUUUCAUAACAGAUGUUUUACUAAGUGGAUAAAUACCAAUAACAGUUGUCCAAAUUGCAGAAGUUAUCAGUCUGCAUAAUUCAAUAUAAAAUUGCCAGUGACAUGAUUCAGAAUAACAAACAUUUCACUUACUCUAAUGAUGUGAUAUCUUCUACAAGUACUAAAAACAUUGUUAUUCAUUGUAAUAAUAUUUAGAUUUAAAAUGUGCCUUCUAGAUUUGUAUUUAUAGUUGUUUUUAAAUUAAAUUAAUGAAUAAGCAAAAAUGGCGUAUGUAUGUGCAAAUUAUUAAACUAAAACAAAAGUUGGGUUCUGGAAAGAAGAAAUCCUAAUAGUAUUGACAUUCACUUAACUAUAUAAUAGCAGACAGAAGUUCAAAAAAGCUAUAACGACAUUUUAUAAUGAGAUUAUUUUUAAAUGAUAUUAAAUAAGUAAUGCCUUUGAAUUAGUUUUUUC
rnacentral:lncRNA from 1 species